AACCAAUGGAAUGUCAGAGGUUU
rnacentral:misc_RNA from 1 species